GGGAAUGGGCGAUCAUACCUUCUGCACCCGUUUGGUUUACGUGUGUUCCUUACCUUCAAUAUGAAUCGACAAGGGCCCAUAGUCUCCUCAAUAGACAGGAUGGUAAAGCCUCAGAUAGUUACAAACGGGUAGAAAAGUUCCCCUCCCUGAUUUGGAGCUACAGAGCGAAAAAUCCAGAUUUACGGACACAUUUGCCUGUCGAGAGAAGUGAGAGUGAGGGAAGAGGAGGAGCCAUCUUGGGGAUUCGUCUUCCUGUUCGGAGCGGUCGCGAUGAGCAUCCAAACCGCGUUCCCUCGUGUCGUGUUUCCGAGGCUCACCCCCGCCACCUCGUCACGCCGUCGUCCCCGUCGUCUGAUGGUCCGUGCAAAAGAGACUCAGUGGGAGCACCUUUUAUGCCCUUGCAGGCACUAUGAUGACAAAGCUGCUGAAGCAGCACAAGGAUUCUGGAAGAAACCAGGAUAGAAGUAGAUCAUUAAGUUAACAGUAUGAGUAUUGUGGAAGGUGGUUAAAAAGUGCUUGUGCAAAGUCCCAAGGGUUCAAUUUCUGGGGUCAGUAAAUCUUCAUUACCUGGAAUUAAGUGGUCUUUAUCUCAGUACUAAUCUGCAGCAGGUGCUAGUUUGAAGAUUGAAAGAGAGUCCAGGAAAAAAGAAAACUUGAUUAAUUUGCCAAAGAACACAGGGCAACCAUAGUGUCGAUAUGUCAGGUGAGUGGACUGGACUUCCUAUAGCCUAGACAUUCAGAACCAAAGCGAUUAUGUUGGUUCAUGAUUACUUUCCUUAGUUCAUUGCGAGUUUAGCAUCUGUGUGACAAACAGGCUGAAUUUGUUUCCUCGGAAAAUAUAAGUUUGCAUUUUUGUAUGGAGAAAUAAACUAAAUAGAUCUUUAACAAGUUAUGAUAUACAAUUCUUUCAUGCUAAAAGACUAAAAUACAAUCAGGUCAAAUCUUUUGCUACAUCUUCUGCAUUCCCAACCUAAGUUGUUACGUUAAAUUAGCUGUAAGCCAGGCUUAUGGAAUGAUUGGAGAUCACUAAGGCAAUACAGUUAAAAUGAUUUGCUUGAAGGAUAUUUAGAUUGGACAGUUCAUGCUGUCUUGUCCAGGCAGCAGAGGAAGUGGAUUUUUCUGGAAAUGGGAUUAAAGCAGCCAAACCAGAGGCAUUUGAUGAUGCUAGUCAAACAAAUACGGGCUGAAAACUCUGAACCUCUCCAUAAAUGAAGAAUUUUUUUUAAAAAAAAAUUCAAUGUUAAUGUUUUUUUCCUAAUUAUAUCUUGCAGGGUGCUGUCUGCCUGGCACUUGGUUUGAAGAUUGUUGCUGAAGAAGCACUUGAUUGGGGUUCCAAUGAGAUAAAGAUUAUGUUCAUUUUCCAAAGCACAGCUUCAGUUUGUGAAUUUCCUCUAGCAACUAGAUCUGUACAAUUAUAGUACCCUGCAAGUUUGAAGCAGGACAAGAUCUGACUGCAAGAAACAAGUUGUGAUAAGUUGAAUGGACUUCCAUUGUUUUCCAAAUAGUUCCCUGAGGAGCCACAGUCACUAUUGGUGUUUCUGAAGCUCCAGCAAUACUAAAGAAUACAGCCAGGCUCAUUAAACAAAUGGGUUUCUGAUGUGCCAUGGACAAUACCAUGUGCAAGCUGAUUAGCUUUGCCGGAAGGGGAAGUAUUAGUAGGACACAGACAAAUUGGGAUAAUGCUGAUCCACUAGAGCUGAUAACAAUUUCUAUUUGAUUCCAACCUUUGGGGUUAAUAUGACUUGUAAUCUGCUGCAGCAUGGAUCAAUUCCUCCCCAUCUAAAGCAGAGGAUCUGCAAUCUACAUCCUGUGUAGAAUAUCCAUUGGAGAUCACUUUGGUCUACAAUUUAUCUGGUAAAAGCAUCACCUGAAAAAGAUUUGCACACAACUAGUUUUAGUCCAAUUGUUGAUGACAACUCACAUCUUACUUCUUGUAAUUUAUGUGUUAUUGUUCAUAAAUAUAUUGGGCUCCACAAAAGAACAUCCUUAUGAAGAUA